rnacentral:rRNA from 1 species
GACGAACGCUGGCGGCGUGCUUAACACAUGCAAGUCGAGCGGUAAGGCCCCUUCGGGGGUACACGAGCGGCGAACGGGUGAGUAACACGUGGGUGACCUGCCCUCAGCUCUGGGAUAAGCCUGGGAAACUGGGUCUAAUACCGGAUAUGACUCCAUGACGCAUGUCGUGGGGUGGAAAGCCUUGUGCGGCUGGGGAUGGGCCCGCGGCCUAUCAGCUUGUUGGUGGGGUGAUGGCCUACCAAGGCGACGACGGGUAGCCGGCCUGAGAGGGCGACCGGCCACACU